rnacentral:snRNA from 1 species
GGAUGUGAGGGCAAUCUGGAUGCAACAUCUGUCACCCCAUUGAUUGUCAGGGUUGAUUCAGCUGGUCUGGCUGACUAGGUGGGUGUCCCCUUCCUCCCUCACCACCUCCCUCACCACUCCCUCCCAAAGCUGCGCACUCUGUUAAGAGGAUGGCCUUCCCCGAAUAGAGAAGACCUGUCUUCUGUCCAGCGUGUAAGAGUAGCUGCUCUCCCCUGCUAGAACUUCCAAACAAGCUCUCAGGAAACUUACUUCUCAGGGUGGUUGGUGGUGCACCCUGUUGAACGCACAUGUUACCAUUCACAAGAAUCUGAGUUCAAGCUUUCGGU